rnacentral:lncRNA from 1 species
AACAAUAAUAGCUGUAAUUUUCUCUCCCUCUAUUUACAGGAAACAAACUCUUCCUUCCUGUCCUCUGCCUGUAGCAGAAAAUAGACAAGCCAAGCAGAUGUCCAGAGAUGGCGGAGGAGUACCUCGGCUGCAGCUUCCUUGAGAGAAAACAAACUCAAGGGAGCCUUGGGGGCUGGGGGUGAGAGUGCCGGGGCGGAGCUGGGGGGAGAAGGAAGGUGGCACAGUAUUGUAAUCAGGUUCCCUACUCACUCAAGCUGAGUGCCCGUUGCCUUCUUUCUUUCCCUCCCUCUCCCUUUGUCUCUUUUGAACUUACUGUGAAACAAGUGAACUAUAUAUGGCCAGGGAAAUCUCCAGCAGUCCCAGUAUUUUUAAACUCUUGUAGUCUCCUGUUUGCACACUCAUGUGACGUAGAGGAACUAGAUCCAGAGAGUUUCUCAUGGGAAUCCGGGAUGCUUCGGCAUAACUGCUGGCUUUGGUUGCAUGUGUUUUUGCCCCUUGUUAAAGCAGUCCUUGGGGUUUCAUUUCACAUCCAAAAGACCUGGGAAGCAGCAGAUUCUGCAACCAAGUCAUGAAGCAUUUUAUUUCAGAAAAGAAGGGAUAAGAGAAAAGCCAUGGUAAGAAGAAGAGGACAAGCCCUGCCCAGUCCCAAGAAGUGUUAACAGGCGCUGGAGCUUUAUCUGCGGCUGCACUCGCUUCUCCCUCCUGCAGACAUUCUUGCUGCUUUCCGGUCCCACGGGACGGCUCCCAGGCUCCCGCCUCACGGCAAGAAAAAUAAAGGCCUCCCCGCACAGCCAGCCAGCUUCGUUCAUUCACGUCACCGACAAACACUCCUAGCAGGCGUUGUUAAACGUUCAGGGAGCGCCCGGGACCUAGCCGAGGCCCCCUCCUGGCUGUGCCGCGGGGGGAUGCGCAGCCCCUCGCACCGACUGCGGGAAGGAGAGUGUGGGUGGCCGGCGCGCCCG